UGGCGCUCUCCAGGGUCUUCAAAGCUUCACCUUUCUCCAAAGGCAGAUGUGAAGAACUUGAUGUCUUAUGUCGUAACCAAGACAAAAGCCAUUAAUGGGAAAUACCAUCGUUUCUUGGGUCGUCAUUUCCCCCGCUUCUAUGUCCUGUACACAAUCUUCAUGAAAGAAAGCCUUGAGCCGGGCCAUGCUUCUCACAUCUUACCUGCCUCCUCCCUUGUUGAGACAUCGUUUGAAGACUCAUACAACUGUGAUUCACCAACUGGACAAGGCUUUGGCAAAGCUGGGGAUUGGCCAGCUGACUGCUCAGGAAGUAAAAUCGGCUUGUUAUCUCCGUGGCCUGAAUUCUACGCAUAUUGGUGAAGAUAGGUGUCGAACUUGGCUGGGAGAAUGGCUGCAGAUUUCCUGCAGCCUGAAAGUAGAGACCAGGUUUCUCCAUGUUGGUCAGGCUGAUCUCAAACUCCCGACCUCAGGUGAUCCGCUGGCCUCGGCCUCCCAAAGUUUUGGGAUCACUGGCGUGAGCCACCAUGCCCAGCCUAUCCUGUUCUUUAUAGAAGCUGAGCUGUCUCUCUUGCUGCACAACGUGGUCCUGCUCUCCACCAACUACCUUGGGACAAGGCGCUGAAUGAACCGUGGAGCGGAUGGCAUUGUCCUGCAGUUGCAUAAUAUAGCAGUGCAGGAACAGACAGCACUUGCCAGCAAAGUCUGUGUGUACUGUUAAGUGUGUGGGAGGCGGAGAGAGGAGCAGGGGCCAUGGGCUUCACAGCAUGGCACACAUGUGGGAACUGCAGACAUUCCCCUCACAGCUAGAACUGAAACAAACCCUCUUGCCAGGGGUGGCCCGUGUGAGAUG
rnacentral:sRNA from 1 species